GAGCGGCGGCGGUGGAGGAUG
rnacentral:miRNA from 1 species